rnacentral:lncRNA from 1 species
AGUAGUUGUGAAUCAGAGGUGUCAAGGUCCACUCCCAAGAUUCCAAAUAGCAGCUCUUAGUCUUGCAAGAAAAUUUAGCCAGGAGAAGGAUAAGUGAGAGGCCUACUGGAAGACAGAGGAAGUCGUUAUUCCUAGCAGAAGGUGAAAUUAGUGCUUGGGAUUCCCUCACUGUAAUGACUGACUGUUUUGUCGGCCAGGAUUGGAUUAACCUAAGGGUAUUCAGAGAUCUAUGUAUCUCACUGGGUCAUCUGCAUUUUACUGAGGAAUAGGAAGAUUAACUGCAGGCACCAGACUGGUCGUCCCACUUAACGUAACCCUGGAAAGUUCCUCUCGCAUUCCAGAAACUACUCAGUCUCCUGCCUCUGUGAAGUUUGCCUAUCUGUCUGGCAAAAGACAGUUCAGGUCGUGUUUUUCACAAGCAAUAGAAAAAGCCAGUUUCAACAAAGCUAGGAGUUUGUCCUAAGAAUCUGGAGUUACUUAAGAGAUAUUUCAACAACCUGUGUCUUCAGUAAGGCUCCCCGGAAACAGACGCCUAAACAGAGAGCUACAUGCCGGGUGCUGUGGUUUUUUGUUUUGUUUUGGUGGGGGGUGCUCUAAGAAACAACACCUGUAGGGGGAGUAAGGGAAACAGACUUGGGCAGAGGAAGAAGUUGAACUUUGAUGCCGUUGUAUUCAGCUAAGCCUACAGGGUGCUGGAUAUCAGUGUAAAAUUGUCUCCAGUAAAAGGAGCUGGGGGCCUUUGUAUCCCUACGAGCAGUCAUCUGAUGCUGAUUGCCCCAGGGAGGGGUGUAACCUUGUGUAAGGCAGCUCCCUUGCUGAGGGCCGUCCAGAGGGGCACUCAGCUGUGAAUCACCCACGGCUAACGCUGCAGCUGCAGAAUCAGGGUAUCCACCAGAACCUGCUGCGCAGCUGUGAGUCAUAUUUAAAGCUCAAAAUCUAGGCGAAAUUUUGAAUUGUCAUGAUUUUCAGAGAGUAGUAAAGGAGCAAAAAAUAAAGAGAAUGUCAUCUAGGAGUUAAGAUUCAGAAAGGGGAGGAGAAAGGGACAUAUCGUAAUUAGCAACUUUCUGUAGUGCAGAGGGGCUGAACGAGGCUGGAUGACCCUCAGCCAUCUCUGUGGUUGGUGGAGAAAUCUGUACAUUUCUCCUUGACUAUAGAAGUUAGGGAAGUAGAACAAAUGGACUGCUACACCUGGAAACCUAAGCCAGCAGCCUGGAAUUACAGACAUUGCACACAAAAGUGAGGGAAGUUUUCCUGUAGGAUACACUCACAAAUAUGCCUACCUUGAUUUAAUCCUACAGGGGUCUAAAAGUCUUAUUCGUAAAAUUUGUCAAGCCCUUGGAAGAAGAGAGUUGGUGUCUGCUUUUCCAUCAACUUGUAAAUUACUGGAGAGGAGGACCUCAAGACAUUCUCCCUUGUUUUCUUCACAAUCAGGGAUGAUAUUGAAGAUAGUUAACACCCAGUACAGCACAGGCACCAACCAACUCAAAUGGACACUGUUCUUAGGCAAUUCGUAUGGCUAUACUAGUGGAUACAGCUGCAUAUUUGUUCUGCACACAGAAGGCAUCCAAUAAAUGAUCGUUGGAUUGAAUUUCAUUGGUUUGGUCAUCAUGGCCUUGCCACCUUUGUUCCAGAUAAAAGGAUCUGUAUGAGAGAAGCAGCUCUGGCACAUGCACACUUGCGGAUGCCGUUCAUCUGCUUUUCUCCUGGGACUACCAGGAAAUAAAUUAGCUAUCAGAUCAGAGCAAACCAAAAUUUAAAAGAUCAUAAAUGAAAAAUGAAUGUGUUGUUAUUUGACUUUUUUGUAUCGUUAUUCAUAGAUUUUCUUAAAGUAAUAAUCAGAGAACAUCAUCAACUAAAAUAUGUUUGUAACCCAAGUCAGUGACGAACUUGGUAAACACGGCAGAAUUACGCCCUCUCUUAAUUAGCCUUUGGGGAGACACCAAGUUUUGAACCGCUGCUUGUAGCUCUGGGAAUCUUCUAAGAAGCAGGAGUAGAUUAACCUCUAGAAGAGAAAUAUGCCAAAAACUGAUUUUCACAUAUGACUUGGUGAGUCUUAAACAGAAACAGGCUAACAUGCCAAAUAUGACCAGCUGAGAAGUAUCA